rnacentral:rRNA from 1 species
AGCGAACGCUGGCGGCAGGCCUAAUACAUGCAAGUCGAACGAACCCUUCGGGGUUAGUGGCGGACGGGUGAGUAACACGUGGGUACGUGCCUUUAGGUUCGGAAUAACUCAGGGAAACUUGUGCUAAUACCGAAUGUGCCCUUCGGGGGAAAGAUUUAUCGCCUUUAGAGCGGCCCGCGUCUGAUUAGCUAGUUGGUGAGGUAAUGGCUCACCAAGGCUACGAUCAGUAGCUGGUCUGAGAGGAUGACCAGCCACAUUGGGACUGAGACACGGCCCAAACUCCUACGGGAGGCAGCAGUGGGGAAUCUUGCGCAAUGGGCGAAAGCCUGACGCAGCCAUGCCGCGUGGAUGAUGAAGGUCUUAGGAUUGUAAAAUCCUUUCACCGGUGAAGAUAAUGACUGUAGCCGGAGAAGAAGCCCCGGCUAACUUCGUGCCAGCCGCCGCGGUAAAAC